UACAGAGGUCCCAAGCGUUGUUCGGAUUCAUUGGGCGUAAAGGGUGCGUAGGUGGCGCGGUAAGUUGGGUGUGAAAUUUCGGAGCUUAACUCCGAAACUGCAUUCGAUACUGCCGUGCUUGAGGACUGGAGAGGAGACUGGAAUUUACGGUGUAGCAGUGAAAUGCGUAGAGAUCGUAAGGAAGACCAGUGGCGAAGGCGGGUCUCUGGACAGUUCCUGACACUGAGGCACGAAGGCCAGGGGAGCAAACGGG
rnacentral:rRNA from 1 species